rnacentral:rRNA from 1 species
GGAAUUGACGGGGCCCGCACAAGCGGUGGAGCAUGUGGUUAAUCGAUGAUACGCGAGGAACCUUACCUGGGCUCAAAUGUAUGUUGACGUAUUCUGAAAGGGAUACUUCUUCGGACAAUAUACAAGGUGCUGCAUGGUUGUCGUCAGCUCGUGCCGUGAGGUGUCGGGUUAAGUCCCAUAACGAGCGCAACCCUAUCAUUAGUUGCCAUCAGGUCAAGCUGGGGACUCUAAUGAAACUGCCUACGCAAGUAGUAAGGAAGGUGGGGAUGACGUCAAAUCAGCACGGCCCUUACGUCCAGGGCUACACACGUGCUACAAUGGCCGGUACAAAGGGCAGCUACCUGGUGACAGGAUGCUAAUCUCAAAAGCCGGUCUCAGUUCGGAUCGGAGUCUGCAACCCGACUCCGUGAAGCUGGAAUCGCUAGUAAUCACGCAUCAGCCAUGGCGCGGUGAAUACGUUCCCGGGCCUU